rnacentral:rRNA from 1 species
GAUCAUGGCUCAGAUUGAACGCUGGCGGCAGGCCUAACACAUGCAAGUCGAACGGUAACAGGAAACAGCUUGCUGUUUCGCUGACGAGUGGCGGACGGGUGAGUAAUGUCUGGGAAACUGCCUGAUGGAGGGGGAUAACUACUGGAAACGGUAGCUAAUACCGAAUAACGUCGCAAGACCAAAGAGGGGGACCUUCGGGCCGUCUUGCCAUCGGAUGUGCCCAGAUAGGGAUUAGCUAGUAGGUGGGG